UUCUCCCUCAAAAACAAAAUAGAUCUGCCAGUUGUCUCUUCACUGCCAGAAUUCGGCAAGAGAAACCGGCGACCUCAUCCUCUCCAAAAACCCAACGAGCUCCCCUCUUCUUCUCCCGUGCUGGUCACAGAAAAAUUCCAAAACCCUAGGAAAACGAUAUGGGUUUGGCAGCGGUUGGAGAAGACAAGAGCAGCAGCCGCAUCCCCUUGUUGCAGAGAACUGCAAUUAAAUGAAAUCUACCAUUAAUGGGUCUUUAAAAAACUUGAGGGUUUAAAAUGGGUUAGUUGAUUUGAUGAAAGUUUGGGAAAUUAAUAUUGGGGUUGUCUUCGGGUCGUCGUGGGGAAUGUUUAGCUGAAGUUAUAACAAAUUUGGUGGAGUUUCUCUUAAAAAUUUGGAUUAAAAUUGUGCUUGGAACAAGAACACACAUGAAAAUUAUGAAGAACACCAAGACCACUAAUUAUUUUGUUUAUUAAAUAGAUUUAACAUAGUUUUUUUCUUUUUUUUUUACUAGGGAAUGCAUUGCACAAACUUUGUAAGUUUGGCUGAUUGUCAAAUAAAUGCUCAAUUGGAAUAAGUUUUGGGUAGUAUAAGUGCUCAAUAGGAACUCUCUUAAGUUCAGGUGUCUAAAUGAAAGAUCGUGCCAACUUUAAGUGUCUUCGUAUGUAUUCCGCCAAACCAUUAUAAACAAUUUCAUACCAAAAUUGAGGACCUCCUAAUUUCAUAGUAGGAUUUAACAAGACAGCAACACCAUAAACAGAGGGAAUAGGGAAAAAAUAUUUUUUAAACUUUUUUCUCUUAUAAUCAAUAGCUGCAUGGAAUUGACGGACGGUGUAAUGGAAAAGGUGUUAUCUGGUUGCCCUAACCUGGAGUGCUUGGAUCUAUGUGAAGUUUGGGGCAUUGAUCAUUUGAAAAUCAGCUCUAUGAAGCUGAGAAAAUUGAUUGUACAACGAUAUCACAAGUACGGAUUUUUACAGUGGAAUGUCAAAAUAAGCAAUGAGAGUAAUUAUCUUUGGCUCGAAACAUUAGAAGCUUCGUAUACUCAAAAUUUGCAACUUGUUUCUUUGGUGAGAUACACUUGCAGCAGAGAAAUGUGCCUUCACUUGUCAGUGCAAUCCUUCAUAUACAUGUUGAUUGUGAAUAUGAAGACUACAACUUGGAGAAGGAGUACAGCAAUUUGAAGGAACUUCUUCAAACUGUUGCCCAUGUCGAGAAUCUUGAAUUGAGUCCCUGGUUCAUCCAGUAUGUGUAUAAGAACGAUAAACGGUGCAAGAGGUUUGAGAUACAUGAUUUUAACUGCUCCUUAGUACAUUUGAAGACCAUCAAGUUCAUUAACAUGGUUGGACCAUUGAGUGAAAAUAAGUUCGUACUACCAUUGAUAAAGUAUUUGCUUGAAAAUGCAAUAGUGCUAGAAAAGUUAUCAUUGCUGGCAGAUGCAAAGGGAGUCAUGUGCCUCGGAAUUAUGUUAAAAUGGAACAGAAACUCCUGAGCGUUCCGAGAUCCUCUCCUCAUGUUUCGGUUCUCUUUUCUUAUGGCCCCUCUUUGUAUUCAUCGCAACAUACUUAACAGCAGUAACUUUAUGUUUGAAACUGGUUGUGUAGCUGAUAAACAAGGUUAGGAUUGUACUUUUCAAUGUGCACUAAGUUUCUUCUAUGUGCGGGGUCCGGGGAAGGCCGGACCACAAGGGUCUUUUGUACGCAGUCUUAUCCUGCAUUUUUGCAAGAGGUUGUUUUCACGGCUCGAACUUGUGACCUACUGGUCACAUGACAGCAACUUCACCAACAACUUCACCAGUUAUGCAAAGGCUCCUUUCUGAUUGCCAUGCGGAAAGCUUGCUCUAAAUAUUUUGUUAUUACUAUUCAUAUUGCUGAGUUGAUCGUUUUUAUGCUAUGAAAUUUAAUUGGUGGAUAAA